UACAGAGGUCUCAAGCGUUGUUCGGAUUCAUUGGGCGUAAAGGGUGCGUAGGUGGCGCCGUAAGUCGGGUGUGAAAUUUCGGAGCUUAACUCCGAAACUGCAUUCGAUACUGCGGUGCUUGAGGACUGGAGAGGAGACUGGAAUUCAUGGUGUAGCAGUGAAAUGCGUAGAGAUCGGGAAGAACGCCGGCGGCGAAAGCGACUCUCUGGUCGGAAUCUGACGCUGAGGUGGCGAAAGCUAGGGGAGC
rnacentral:rRNA from 1 species